rnacentral:rRNA from 1 species
UACGGAGGGUGCAAGCGUUAUCCGGAUUCACUGGGUUUAAAGGGUGUGUAGGCGGGGAUUUAAGUCAGUGGUGAAAUCUCCAGGCUCAACCUGGAAACUGCCAUUGAUACUAUUUAUCUUGAAUAUCGUUGAGGUAGGCGGAAUAUAUCAUGUAGCGGUGAAAUGCUUAGAUAUGAUAUAGAACACCGAUUGCGAAGGCAGCUUGCUAAACGAUGAUUGACGCUGAGGCACGAAAGCGUGGGGAUCAAACAGG